UACGUAGGGGGCUAGCGUUGUCCGGAAUCAUUGGGCGUAAAGAGCGUGUAGGCGGCCCGGUAAGUCCGCUGUGAAAGUCCAGGGCUCAACCCUGGAAUGCCGGUGGAAACUGUCGGGCUAGAGUCCGGAAGAGGCGAGUGGAAUUCCUGGUGUAGCGGUGAAAUGCGCAGAUAUCAGGAGGAACACCAAUGGCGAAGGCAGCACUCUGGGACGUGACUGACGCUGAGACGCGAAAGCGUGGGGAGUCAAACAGG
rnacentral:rRNA from 1 species